AGCCACAAGUUAAUAUUUGUGGUCUAACCUGCCCAAUGUGCAAUUAAAAAGAUGAAUGGCCGCGGUACCCUGACCGUGCUAAGGUAGCGUAAUCAGUUGGCUUUUAAAUGGAGUCAGGAAUGAAUGGAAUAACCGGGUUUAGCUGUCUCCUUUCUAAUUAGUUGAAUUUACUAUUCAAGUGAAAAAGCUUGAAGAAUGAAAAGGGACGAGAAGACCCUUAGAAUUUUUUUUAGUGGGGAAAUUUUUCCCUAAUGAUUUUGUUGGGGCGACAUGGAAAUAUUUAAAAACUUUCCUUUAAUACUUGCCGAUUUUGUUAAGUUAGAAUAAAUUACCUGAGGGAUAACAGCAUAAUUCUAUAGAUGAGUUUGUGACCUCGAUGUUGGACUAGGGAACUAGCAAGCUAGCCGUUUGCUGUGUGGGUUCUGUUCGAACUGUAAUCCCUA
rnacentral:rRNA from 1 species